rnacentral:rRNA from 1 species
GACGAACGCUGGCGGCGUGCUUAACACAUGCAAGUCGAACGGAAAGGCCUUUUCGGCGGUACUCGAGUGGCGAACGGGUGAGUAACACGUGGGUGAUCUGCCCUGCACUCUGGGAUAAGCCUGGGAAACUGGGUCUAAUACCGGAUAGGACCGCACUUUAGUGUGUGUGGUGGAAAGUUUUUUCGGUGUAGGAUGAGCCCGCGGCCUAUCAGCUUGUUGGUGGGGUAAUGGCCUACCAAGGCGGCGACGGGUAGCCGGACUGAGAGGUUGGUCGGCCACAUUGGGACUGAGAUACGGCCCAGACUCCUACGGGAGGCAGCAGUGGGGAAUAUUGCACAAUGGGCGCAAGCCUGAUGCAGCGACGCCGCGUGGGGGAUGACGGCCUUCGGGUUGUAAACUCCUUUCGCCAGGGACGAAGCGUUUUGUGACGGUACCUGGAGAAGAAGCACCGGCUAACUACGU